rnacentral:rRNA from 1 species
UGAGCAAUCUGCCCUGCUCUUCGGAAUAAGCGUUGGAAACGACGUCUAAUGCCGAAUACGACCUCCUUUCACAUGAUCGGAGGUGGAAAGCUCCGGCGGAGAAGGAUGAGCUCGCGGCCUAUCAGCUAGUUGGUGUGGGUAACGCCCACCAAGGCGACGACGGGUAGCCGGCCUGAGAGGGUGACCGGCACACUGGACUGAGACACGGCCCAGACCUCCGUACGGGA